rnacentral:rRNA from 1 species
AUUGAACGCUGGCGGCAGGCCUAACACAUGCAAGUCGAACGAGUGGCGGACGGGUGAGUAAUGUCUGGGAAACUGCCUGAUGGAGGGGGAUAACUACUGGAAACGGUCGCUAAUACCGCAUACCAUCGGAUGUGCCCAGAUGGGAUUAGCUAGUAGGUGGGGUAACGGCUCACCUAGGCGACGAUCCCUAGCUGGUCUGAGAGGAUGACCAGCCACUCAGGAACUGGGGCACGGUCCAGACUACUACGGAGGGCAGAAGUGGGGAAGAUUGCACCAUGGGCGCAAGCCUGAUGCAGCCAUGCCGAGUGUAUGAAGAAGGCCUUCGGGUUGUAAAGUACUUUCAGCGGGGAGGCUUUACCCGCAGAAGAAGCACCGGCUAACUCCGUGCCAGCAGCCGCGGUAAUU